UCUUGACGUUAGCAACAGAAGAAGCACCGGCUAACUCCGUGCCAGCAGCCGCGGUAAUACGGAGGGUGCGAGCGUUAAUCGGAAUUACUGGGCGUAAAGCGCAUGCAGGUGGUUCAUUAAGUCAGAUGUGAAAGCCCGGGGCUCAACCUCGGAACUGCAUUUGAAACUGGUGAACUAGAGUGCUGUAGAGGGGGGUAGAAUUUCAGGUGUAGCGGUGAAAUGCGUAGAGAUCUGAAGGAAUACCAGUGGCGAAGGCGGCCCCCUGGACAGAUACUGACACUCAGAUGCGAAAGCGUGGGGAGCAAACAGGAUUAGAUACCCUGGUAGUCCACGCCGUAAACGAUGUCUACUUGGAGGUUGUGGCC
rnacentral:rRNA from 1 species